rnacentral:rRNA from 1 species
UUUAUGGAGAGUUUGAUCCUGGCUCAGAGUGAACGCUGGCGGCGUGCCUAAUACAUGCAAGUCGAACGAUGAAGCUUUUAGCUUGCUAGAAGUGGAUUAGUGGCGCACGGGUGAGUAAUGCAUAGGUUAUGUGCCCUUUAGUCUGGGAUAGCCACUGGAAACGGUGAUUAAUACUGGAUACUCCCUACGGGGGAAAGGGACUCUUAAAUAUGCUCCUAGAGUAUUUUUAAAACAAGAAGUCGCGUGAGUGAAAAGGAAAAUUGUAGAAGGCUUAUAAAAAUAAGUCAAAACAAUUUGACGCAUUCAAACACGAUGAAUUUUUUGAAUUUAAAGAUAUUCUAGGGGUAUAUUUAAGAGUCUCCGCUAAAGGAUCAGCCUAUGUCCUAUCAGCUUGUUGGUGAGGUAAUGGCUCACCAAGGCUAUGACGGGUAUCCGGCCUGAGAGGGUGAUCGGACACACUGGAACUGAGACACGGUCCAGACUCCUACGGGAGGCAGCAAUGAGGAAUAUUGGUCAAUGGGCGAGAGCCUGAACCAGCCAAGUCGCGUGA